UACGUAGGGUGCAAGCGUUAAUCGGAAUUACUGGGCGUAAAGCGUGCGCAGGCGGUUUUGUAAGUCUGACGUGAAAUCCCCGGGCUCAACCUGGGAAUUGCGUUGGAGACUGCAAGGCUGGAGUCUGGCAGAGGGGGGUAGAAUUCCACGUGUAGCAGUGAAAUGCGUAGAGAUGUGGAGGAACACCGAUGGCGAAGGCAGCCCCCUGGGAUAAUACUGACGCUCAUGCACGAAAGCGUGGGGAGCAAACAGG
rnacentral:rRNA from 1 species